GCGGUUGGCGGGCGUGCGUAUGGCGACCAGGCCUAGAAGGCCACGGGCGCCGUAGGUGCCUUAAGGGUCAAUCUUUUUAAUGCCCUUAAUCGCCAAGGCCAAGUGGGAAGGUCGGGGUCUCCCAUGAUCCACCCCUUGGGGUCAUGAUGGCGGUUGGCUAACCCUCUUUACAGAGAUGGCUACCGCUGAGGCACCGCGAAGAAGCAUUUCCAGGGCCUGGAGAUGGUGAUCCAGGCCCCUGGAGAGAGAGAGAGACGAGCAGGACAGAAUGGACAGAGGUCAUUUUCCAGGGAUGCUGAACCCUGCACAAGGUGGAAGUUACUGAGCAAGUGAGUUGGAUGAGUGGGGCUAAGUGCUGAGGCUGUUGUACGCCAGCAGCAUGGCUCAAGAGGGCCCUGCAGAUGAGCCAGGUGUUGGAGAAGCUAAGCAGCACAAAAGAUAACUGGAUGGCCUGGCCCAAGGACUUGGAAAACCCAGAAUGGUGCUCAAUGGGAAGCCGACUCACCCUCUGGCUCUGCAGAGAGUGGCCCCACUGCGCAAGAACAGCUGGAGCCGAAAAGGAUGAACCUUAUGAGGUGAGAAGCUGGGUCCGGAGACCCCAGUCUCACCUCGGGGAGAAAAGAAAAGAUGUACCUACCUUCCCGACCACUACGAACUUUCUACAGCUCCGCGCCUCAGCUUGCGUCUCAUCGUGACUUCAUCCAGCUGAGAUACAUGAGAAAAGCAGGUGCAUCGGCCAGAACAUCAUGGCUAGGGGGCGGCUAGAGACCACUAGAUCGUGGUAUUGGUCUCCGUAGCCCGGGAAAACCUGAUGAAUUAGAAGACUUUGAAGAUGCCUGCUGCUUGGUGACAGAAUGGAGUGUUUGAAUGGCAGCCGUGAGACAAUCCAGCAUCUUUGGAGCCUUCAGCCCUGUGCUCCCUUUGGAUCCUUGCCACCGCGGUGUGUGAUGUGGAGCCUCACAAAGGCCCCUUCGAAAUUGGAAACCUGCUCCGCUUCAGUCUCUUGUAUGUGGAGCAGAACCUUCAAUCCUGAAGGGAAGGUUUGCUAAGCAGGAGAGCUCCGGGGAGCUCUGUCUCCUCAGGACUAGGAUUGAAGCCAGGUCCACACGUGAGUGCUCUACCACUGAUCUACACUGGCAGCCCUACUUUUUAUUUAUUUUGAGACAAGAUCUCACUGAGUUGCCCAUACUGGCUUCAAACUUGGAACCCUCUUGCCUAAGACUCUUGAGUAAUGGGUAUUAUAGGCAUGAACCACUGUGCCCAGUCUGGAGGGUGUCUUGGUUGUUAACCACCUCUGUAAGAAUGAGUUCUGGGGCCCAAACACCCAGCUUUAUG